GCAAAACUCAAAAACUUGUCUCAGUUCGGAUUGUAGGCUGAAACUCGCCUACAUGAAGCUGGAGUUGCUAGUAAUCGCGAAUCAGCAUGUCGCGGUGAAUACGUUCCCGGGCCUUGUACACACCGCCCGUCACACCAUGAGAGUUGGCAAUACCCAACGUACGUGAUCUAACCCGCAAGGGAGGAAGCGUCCUAAGGUAGGGUCAGCGAUUGGGGUGAAGUCGUAACAAGGUACC
rnacentral:rRNA from 1 species